CUCUCUCUAACCCAGGUCUUUAGAUGUAAAAGAACUGGUAACUGGGAGGUCAAGGGCUCAAUCUGUUUUUGUUUCUUGAAGAGCUGGCAAAAGGCAAUCUUUCCCAUGUGCUCCUACUCACAAAGAUUUCACAAUUUGAUGAUGACUCACACAUCUGCAUGGAAAAAUAUGCUACUACCCUCAGCUGCAGUAGUUUAUGCCUUUCGCUCAUCUAGAAUGAUUACCCAGAAGUAUGUAAUAGUCACCUAAUGGGGAGCAGGUGUGAGAAGAAACAGUCAUUUUGAACAAAGGGAAUGGACGUACAUUGCAGCAUGAAGGAUUUAGGUUAGACAUCCACUCGCGGGGAGAAUUCUCUUCUGUCAGCAAGAGCAGUGAAACACUGGGAUACGGGAUGAAAGCAGAGUUGUGGCACAUUCUCAGGGCAUUUGAAAAGAAAAGGCCAGGUGGUUUGAUUUCAAUGCUUUCUGAACUGCUCCUCUCAGAGGGAGGCGAAUGAAUUCUGUGAUGGCUGAGGAUCAUUUUCAGUUCUGUGAUUCAUGAGCUCCGAGUUCUGGGGACAUCUGAUUAAAAACCAAGUCAAAGAGCCGCAUAUUCCAGAGGUCCUUUCUGAUCAUCCUGAUUGAUACCGGGAUUUCAUUUUUGGCAUGGUGAGGGUGGCCAAUAAGUAUUUGUUAAGACCAAUUUUGUAUAAUGUCUUUUUCUUUGGAUGAUUUUUUACCUGCAUCUUCAAUGGUCAUAGAAAUGGUCUUUCCUAGGGGUUUAAAACGUAUUGCAAGUAGAGUAUCAUCUGGAAUACUCAAGAGAUCCAAAAAGCCAUCAGACAUUCUUUCUCUCCGUAUUAUUUGGAAUCGUCCAACUUUUAACAGGCUGUACAAUUGUCCUUUAUUUUCCUUUCUAAUUGG
rnacentral:lncRNA from 10 species